rnacentral:rRNA from 1 species
UCAGGCCUAACACAUGCAAGUCGAGCGGAAACGACAACAAAGAUUCUUCGGAUGAUUUGUUGGGCGUCGAGCGGCGGACGGGUGAGUAAAGCCUGGGAAAUUGCCCUGAUGUGGGGGAUAACCAUUGGAAACGAUGGCUAAUACCGCAUAAUAGCUUCGGCUCAAAGAGGGGGACCUUCGGGCCUCUCGCGUCAGGAUAUGCCCAGGUGGGAUUAGCUAGUUGGUGAGGUAAUGGCUCACCAAGGCGACGAUCCCUAGCUGGUCUGAGAGGAUGAUCAGCCACACUGGAACUGAGACACGGUCCAGACUCCUACGGGAGGCAGCAGUGGGGAAUAUUGCACAAUGGGCGCAAGCCUGAUGCAGCCAUGCCGCGUGUAUGAAGAAGGCCUUCGGGUUGUAAAGUACUUUCAGCAGUGAGGAAGGUGUUGUCGUUAAUAGCGGCAUCAUUUGACGUUAGCUGCAGAAGAAGCACCGGCUAACUCCGUGCCAGCAGCCGCGGUAAUACGGAGGGUGCGAGCGUUAAUCGGAAUUACUGGGCGUAAAGCGCAUGCAGGUGGAUGAUUAAGUCAGGUGUGAAAGCCCGGGGCUCAACCUCGGAAUAGCAUUUGAAACUGGUCAUCUAGAGUACUGUAGAGGGGGGUAGAAUUUCAGGUGUAGCGGUGAAAUGCGUAGAGAUCUGAAGGAAUACCAGUGGCGAAGG